AUGUACAUUCCUACAACAUAGCGUUAAUGCACUGGAUCCCAUUAGAACUCCUCAAUUAAGAGCGCAUAGACUAGAGUAGUACUAGGAUGGGUGAUCGCCCAGGAAGUCCUAGUGUUUUACAUG
rnacentral:rRNA from 1 species